rnacentral:rRNA from 1 species
AGAAUCAACGCUGGCGGCGUGCCUCAGACAUGCAAGUCGAACGCGAAAGUCCCCUUCGGGGGAUGAUUAGAGUGGCGCACGGGUGAGUAACACGUAGGUAAUCUACCUUCGAGUGGGGAAUAACUCAGGGAAACUUGAGCUAAUACCGCAUAAUGCAGCGGCACCACAUGGUGACAGUUGUUAAAGCAUUUAUACGCUUGAAGAGGAGCCUGCGGCAGAUUAGCUAGUUGGUAAGGUAAUGGCUUACCAAGGCUACGAUCU